AUAAACGCUGGCGGCGCACAUAAGACAUGCAAGUCGAACGAACUUAACCAUUAGUUUACUAUUGGAGCGGUUAGUGGCGGACUGGUGAGUAACACGUAAGCAACCUGCCUAUCAGAGGGGAACAACAGUUAGAAAUGACUGCUAAUACCGCAUAUGCCUUAGAAUCACAUGGUUCAAAAGGGAAAGGAGCAAUCCGCUGAUAGAUGGGCUUGCGUCUGAUUAGCUAGUUGGUGGGGUAACGGCCUACCAAGGCGACGAUCAGUAGCCGAACUGAGAGGUUGAACGGCCACAUUGGGACUGAGAUACGGCCCAGACUCCUACGGGAGGCAGCAGUCGGGAAUAUUGCGCAAUGGAGGAAACUCUGACGCAGUGACGCCGCGUGCAGGAAGAAGGUUUUCGGAUUGUAAACUGCUUUAGACAGGGAAGAACAAAGACAGUACCUGUAGAAUAAGCUCCGGCUAACUACGUGCCAGCAGCCGCGGUAAUACGUAGGGAGCGAGCGUUAUCCGGAUUUAUUGGGUGUAAAGGGUGCGUAGACGGGAAGUCAAGUUAGUUGUGAAAUCCCUCGGCUUAACUGAGGAACUGCAACUAAAACUGAUUUUCUUGAGUACUGGAGAGGAAAGUGGAAUUCCUAGUGUAGCGGUGAAAUGCGUAGAUAUUAGGAGGAACACCGGUGGCGAAGGCGACUUUCUGGACAGAAACUGACGUUGAGGCACGAAAGUGUGGGGAGCAAACAGGAUUAGAUACCCUGGUAGUCCACACCGUAAACGAUGGAUACUAGGUGUAGGGGAUAUUAAAAUUCUCUGUGCCGCCGCUAACGCAAUAAGUAUCCCACCUGGGGAGUACGGCCGCAAGGUUGAAACUCAAAGGAAUUGACGGGGGCCCGCACAAGCAGUGGAGUAUGUGGUUUAAUUCGACGCAACGCGAAGAACCUUACCAAGUCUUGACAUCCUGCGACGAUGCUGGAAACAGUAUUUUCCUUCGGGACGCAGAGACAGGUGGUGCAUGGUUGUCGUCAGCUCGUGUCGUGAGAUGUUGGGUUAAGUCCCGCAACGAGCGCAACCCCUGUUUCCAGUUGCCAGCACAUAAAGGUGGGGACUCUGGAGAGACUGCCGGUGAUAAAUCGGAGGAAGGUGGGGACGACGUCAAAUCAUCAUGCCCUUUAUGUCCUGGGCUACACACGUACUACAAUGGCUAUAACAAAGAGAAGCGAGACCGCGAGGUGGAGCAAAACUCAAAAAAGUAGUCUCAGUUCGGAUUGUAGACUGAAAUUCGUCUACAUGAAGCUGGAAUUGCUAGUAAUGGCAGGUCAGCAUACUGCCGUGAAUACGUUCCCGGGCCUUGUACACACCGCCCGUCACACCAUGAGAGUUGGGAAUACCCGAAGCCUGUAAGCUAACGCAAGAGGCAGCAGUCGAAGGUAGAAUCAAUGAUUGGGGUG
rnacentral:rRNA from 1 species